CAGUUCAGAUUGCAGGCUGCAACUCGCCUGCAUNAAGCUGGAAUCGCUAGUAAUCGCGAAUCAGAAUGUCGCGGUGAAUAACGUUCCCGGGUCUUGUACACACCGCCCGUCACACCAUGGGAGUCGGAAAUGCCCGAAGUCAGUGACCCAACCGCAAGGAGGGAGCUGCCGAAGGUGGAGCCGGUAACUGGGGUGAAGUCGUAACAAGGUAGC
rnacentral:rRNA from 1 species